rnacentral:lncRNA from 1 species
ACCGGGUCUCUUCCCCACCUCCGUGGUCUGCCUGCCCGUCCCGCCAUCAGCCACCGCGUCACCGCACCGACCAGAUCCAUGGCGUUAGUCGCGCCGUGCUUUGUGGUUCUACUCCGUCAGAGGUAAGGACGGGCUCUGCCGCCACAGGGAACCAGCCCCUCCUCCCCUACUUCUCCUCGUCGGAUUGUCGGUCUCCAGAUUGCGAAGGCGUGCACAACGACUCUCUCUCUCCCUUUUGCAGUGCAAAGAGGCGGCGCUGCAGUGCACCUCCGCACUGAUGCUAUAAUCCCCAAACUUCAGAUCCAGCAACCCCCCGUGCUUGCAGUUCAUUUUUUUCUAUUUGAAUUGAUGCAUGCAGCCCGAUUCAAUUACUGUAUUUUGCAGUUAGGAUGGGGGGUAGGAGCAGCUCCGUCGAGCUUCUGCUGGCGACGGCGAGAUACUUCAGGUGAGCCGCCCAGUGGUGUGGUUGCUGCAGCCGUGCAGUUCGGCCCGGGGCACGUGCAGUUGAAUUGCACGGGUCGGCUGCCCUCUGCGAGGAAUCAGUUGCUUUUUUAUUUUUCAUUUUUAGUGAUUGUUCUUUACUCGACCGCCGACGCCGUUGCAGUGCAUCCGGAUCCCCGGCGUUUCGUCUUCUCACCGUCAUCCCUUCUCUGCCAGUUGCCAUCCACCAGGAGGAGAGGGGAGAAACUCCCAGCACCCUUGCACUUUCUGACAUGUACGAGUGCAGUGCGCUAGUCGCGUUGGUGCAGCCCGCUGGCAUCCAGCAGGGGAUGCAGCUCUUCGGUGGGUGAAGUGCGGUCCACGCCGAGCGCCAAUGCAGUGCUGUGCCCCUUGGUGGUUAUGAAAAAAAGCAUGCAGUUUGUUUCGAAUUGGGUCGCGGCUCACUUCCUCCGAUGCAAAAUUCAAAUUGCACUUGUUCCUGCAUGGUGUCGCGUGUUCACAAAAAAAAAUUGCAUCGGCACUUGCAGUGCAUUUUGCUGUCGCGUGCGGUUCACUACGCUGGCCUCGCAGUUGAGAUGAAAUUAUAAAGAGAAAAUGCUAGGAAAAAAAUAAUGCAACUCCCUUUGUCGCUAUUGCAAUGCGGUUCAUUUUGUAGUGAGUCAAAGUGGUUCACUUUGUAAAGCAAAAAGAUUGUCGAAAAGAAGUAUGAAGUUCACUAGUCUCGUUGGUGAGGUUUGCUACUCUUGUGUGUGGUUUGCUAGUCUCGUCUAUUGGUAC